UAGCUCAGUGACAGAGCACUUGCUUUGCAUGCAUGAGGCCCUGGGUUCCAUCCCCAG
rnacentral:tRNA from 1 species